rnacentral:rRNA from 1 species
UACGUAGGGGGCAAGCGUUGUCCGGAAUCAUUGGGCGUAAAGAGCGUGUAGGCGGCCCGGUAAGUCCGCUGUGAAAGUCCAGGGCUCAACCCUGGAAGUGCACUCGAAACUGCCGAGCUGGAGUCCCGGAGAGGAAGGCGGAAUUCUCGGUGUAGAGGUGAAAUUCGUAGAUAUCGAGAGGAACACCUGUGGCGAAGGCGGCCUUCUGGACGGUGACUGACGCUGAGACGCGAAAGCGUGGGGAGCAAACAGG